rnacentral:misc_RNA from 1 species
CGAAUCAACAACCUUUGAGAUAAACAUAUGAAUUUGAGAUGACAAUGAUGCACACAUAAUUUAGCAAAGAACAAAAGAAUUAGAAAAAUAAAACAUAAAAGAACAAAACAAAUAUAUCAGAUUCUAAUUAACCAACAAUGGCAAAGUUGGUUAAAACUUACAAAUUUAAUUCUUCUUGCAAGAAUACUUCCUUAUGACGGGCUAUGUAUAUACUAUAAACAAUCACAGAAAAUUUGC